UAUGGCCAUAUUGCGUUGAAAGACCGGUUCCUGAAUGAUCAUGAAGUUAAGCAACAUUGAGCCUGGUCAGUACUUAGAUGGGUGACUGCUUGGGAAUACCAGGUGCUAUA